rnacentral:lncRNA from 1 species
CCAGAUGCCAGCGGGAGCUCUCCUGUAUGAGGUGUGUGUCGGCCCCUACUGGGAGGUGUCUCCCAGUCAGGAUACGUGGGGGUGAGGGACCGACUUAAGGAGGCAGCCUGUCCCUUAUCAGAGCUCAAACACUGUGCUGGGAGAUCUCUCGGGAGGCUGAGGCAGGAGAAUCAUUUGAACCUGGGAGAUGGAGUGAGCUGAGAUCAUGCCACUGCAUU